UCGAACCACCUCGGUGCCCCCUCUCCCGCGAUCGCCCGCGCCAUCCGUCUCUCCCUCUCUAUCCUCCCUGCUAUCUCCGACACCGCCGCUCCAGUAGCCAGGCUGUCGCCAUCUCACAUCCUGCAACUUAUUUGGGCGCAGAUGUCGCAGUCUGCCGAGGAUGACGCCCAGUUGGAGCGCCGCCUCACCGCCUGCAAGCACCGCCGCCACCUUCGCUUCCCGGACCAAGAUGGAAUAGGCGCCGCUGCCUAGGCCGAUGAUCUGCCUGCGUGCGCCCGCUGCUUAGGGGAGCAUCUGCAUCAACCUGCCACGGUGUCCAUCGAUCUUCCAUGCGUCCGCCUAACCCCAACCUGCAGAACGGCUGUUGCAUCUUCUCUAUGCAUUAUUCCCCAACUCUCAUCACCCUUGCAUGGAAACCGUGUCCUCGUACCCUCCUUAGCCUCCUGAUCUUCCUCUCCCAUCUCUCAAGCUCCAACAAUGGCUGCUUGCUGACUUUUGUACUCGGCACCUCCACCGCCGUGUGGAAUUUUUUAACUCACAUGUCAAGCAUUUUCUAUGAGCGUCCUUCUCCUUUUAUCAAUGCUUGAAAAAUGAUUACCAACGAGUGGUGUUUUAUUUGCAGAUAUGAUGAUUUAGGCAAUACUGCUAGGAAGAAAAAGAUGAUGAGCUAUCAACUCAGAUCUGAUGGUGCAAGUCCAAUUGGUGGCUGGCCUUUUGUUGUGUUAGUUGUUGGAUGCUGGCUCGUUAUAAUUUUCCUUCUUUUCAAUUGUGCUCUCACGAGUCCUAUAAUGUUUAUAUGGUAACCUGAUCUCAGCUUCAUAUAAAUCGAUUUUUCAGAAGUUACUAUCAUCCUUGGAUUUGUCAGGAAUGGGAAUAACUAGCUAUGAAAGGGAUAGGAAAUGACAUGGAUAAUGGGCUCAAGAAGUUCACUUAUUUGCGGUUCCGUGACUGGUUGGACGAUGCUGUCGCCUAGCAAUGGCAAGGACUGAUCACCUGCUGCUGCACUAAGUCACUAUUGGUCAAGACCUUGAGUUGCAAGCAUAAUUCAUGGGCUUAUGGAAAACUGCAUGUCUUACAAGUUUUGAAGCUUGACAUGCUUCAGGAAAUUUGAAGACGAUGAAGCCAGGAUAGUGGUGACAUUUCUCUAAUAUGGGCAUACAACUUCAUUAAAGGUUGACAGAAGAUGUUUGCUUGCCCCUCCAUAAAUUGACCCUGACAUACGGAUUGAGGGUCUGAAUCCACAUAGUGGUAGACGUACUCUACCAAAUGUAUCGUCUGAUAGACAGUUCAAUGGUUGGUGUACUUCAAGAUUUAUUAGAAUCAGAGUAAAUACUUGAUCAUUUUGGUAUGUCUUAUUAUGCUUCACAUUCCUGUGUAAACUUGAUUUUCCUCAUGUAUUAUAUGGGCAUGCUC